GACGAACGCUGGCGGCGUGCCUAAUACAUGCAAGUAGAACGCUGAAGGAGGAGCUUGCUCUUCUGGAUGAGUUGCGAACGGGUGAGUAACGCGUAGGUAACCUGCCUGGUAGUGGGGGAUAACUAUUGGAAACGAUAGCUAAUACCGCAUAAUAACAGUUGUUGCAUGACAACUGUUUGAAAGGUGCAAUUGCAUCACUACCAGAUGGACCUGCGUUGUAUUAGCUAGUUGGUGGGGUAACGGCUCACCAAGGCGACGAUACAUAGCCGACCUGAGAGGGUGAUCGGCCACACUGGGACUGAGACACGGCCCAGACUCCUACGGGAGGCAGCAGUAGGGAAUCUUCGGCAAUGGACGAAAGUCUGACCGAGCAACGCCGCGUGAGUGAAGAAGGUUUUCGGAUCGUAAAGCUCUGUUGUAGGAGAAGAACGAGUGUGAGAGUGGAAAGUUCACACUGUGACGGUAUCUUACCAGAAAGGGACGGCUAACUACGUG
rnacentral:rRNA from 1 species